rnacentral:miRNA from 1 species
UAAACAAUGCUUGGAUCUUGG